GAAGCUGAAACUUUGCCGUCAUAAAGCGUCCACCUUCAGGGCUCUUUUCUCCGAAGAGACCUGGCAGAUAAAGGCUGUCCCAAACAGGUAUCUAUGAACACUGCCUUCCACGAGGCCUCGGGGUAUUGGUGUGUGCAUUGUAACACUCUUGCUUUGAUGGAAUUUAGUUACCACCAAUCGCUGCCCCCUCUGCUUUGUGCCAGUGGAUUUAGACACUGGGGCAAGGACCACAGGAGAUGGCAAGAGAAGUGGGCCACACUGAGAGGCAUUUGAUCCCCAGUGCCCUUCUGUGUUAAUAAAUGACAAUGGAAUAAGGGGUGGAUGUGGAGGGAACAGAUCCAUUCUUCCCUGGCUCAGAGACAGCCCCUGCCUUCUGAACCACCAUAUGGUUCCUUCUUCUCACACUGGCCUGACAAGCACAUGGAAGGUAAACAUCAGGCUAUGAGCUGUCCAGCAUUCCCCUUUGUUGGAUACACAUUUGAAACGUUUUGAGAUGGUUGGUUAAUCUGUUUGGAUAGCCUGUGUUGCCUUCUUUGGUUAAAUCAGAUUUUUUUUAAGGUUAGUCCUCUCUGUAGCAAUGACCAUGGGAGAUAAAAAGCGAAGCUUCCCCCUCAAAGGCACUUGCCCUCCAAUAGCCCCACAAUGUUAAUGAGUGACCCAGGAGGCGAGGGAGGAGGAGAAGAAGAUUGGGAGGAAUAAGCAGCCUCCCUCGUGGCUCCCCGGACUCAGAGACAGCCCCUACCAUCAUCCCAGCAGGUUCUCAGGACUCUCCGCCAAAGCACCAUGAAGUUCUUCGUCCUCACACUGGCCUUGGUCAUCCUGACGGGGACUUGGGCUUCUGUUCUCCGAGACGAGCCGGAUUCCAAGCUGGAGAAGCUAAUCCAACAGGGAAGAGAAGAUGCCAAUAAAUUCACCGAAACAUUGUUUGGGAAACUCACCAUCGUUGACAGAACAGAGGAGGGCCGGGAGAUUUCGUAAGCAAAUUAGACUCGUUUCCGCUCUGCGCUGCUCUCUUCCCAUGUAGAAAAGAGGAGAUGUUAUUUCUAGAGAAUAGAUGGAUGGAAGUGAUGCCGGCAUAACAUUCUGGGGUUGGGGAAGGUAUGGGAGCUGAACUACUGGAUUCUGAGCCAGCCCCACUGCCACCACUUCACCCCAUGGCUUGGCCCCUGGGUCCCUGUACCUUCCCCUCCCACUGUGGGCAGCAUGUGUGGCAGGGCUGAGGGUAUAACAGGUGACACACACUGCUACAUGAAGCCCCUCAGGCAGCAGAGAGGGAAUCCUCCUCAGAACAGAGUCUUAAAAUCCUGGGUAUUUGAACAGAAAUCUUGGAUAGCGACAGCUCAAGCCACUUUGACUCAGGAUGGUGCCUCCCCUUCGGCAGAUGGGCAGAUCCAGUGAACCCUCCCAGGAAGGCUCUCUCCCCACUUAAGCGAGGAGAAACAGGUGCAGGCAAAGCCAUGUGGGACUGCCCCACCUGACAAGGAAGGGAGGCUGCCCCUUAAACCCAGGGGCUUCCCACUCAGUGAAAGAGGCCUGCCUACUGUGACUAUGCAGGUCCAAGCAGGUUUUCAUUUGUCCCACCCAGGGCCAGAUUUAGGUUUGAUGAG
rnacentral:lncRNA from 1 species